rnacentral:lncRNA from 1 species
GAAGGGAAAAAAACCCUAUCACUGAUCAUGGAAUUUUCAUCUUCUAAUUGUAAAUGUUAUUGUUUUUUAACAGGACACAUCACAUGUUUUAAGCAGAAGAGCCUAUGAUGUACAGAAUGCAUCUUCUUCAAAUAGCAGCCACUCUGACAUGCAGGGUGGAUCAUUUAUUGCAACCAGUGGAUCAAGUAAUCAGGUCAGGAUUUUCUUUAUUUUGA